AGGAAGGGGACCCCGGAAGGGGACCCCGAAGGCCACGCCGCGGGAGGCCCCCGCCUGGCUUCGGGCUUUCGCAACCUACCCAGGGCCCCGGCGGGAAGAGUCGGUGGGGAGGCCCCUUGGAGGGACUGGUCCGGUCUCCCAGGCACAGGCCCGGGCGCUUUUGUUCCUGGGACCCCAGGUGACCUGGCACGAGGCUUGCAGCCACCGUUCCAUUCCUUCCUAGCGGCCCCUUUAAUUGAUGUGCACGUUUCAGAAGAAGCAGGGCCGCCUCACCAAGUGAAUUACAUCCUGGGAGAUGCCAAGAAUGUAUUCCCUGGCAGCCAGGUUUGCCAAUAGAAGUCGCAAAAGAAGACCACUGGUUUCCGGGAAAAAGGACUCUGUUUUUCAACCGCUCCUUAGUCUUAACUAUGAAAAACUGAACCUCCAAAGAGCUGGUCUGGAAAACGGCGAGAGGGGCGCGCGGUACCCCCCGCCCCCAGACCCUCACAGCGCGCAUGCGCAGCCUCUCCGGCCCCUCCCGACGCAGACACGCGCGGGCAGGACGCUGGCGCGGGAGGGGAACGCGUUCGGGUUCGAGCUCUUUAGUUUGGAAGCAACGACGUAUGAAAAGAUAGGCUGUGGCGAACAGAGGGACGUUCCCGCAGAGUCGAGGAAGCUGCGCCUAGAGAGAGCACCUUGCCGAGAUCACACACGCGUCCCUUGCAGCGUCCCACUGAGAUGCCCUUUGGGGUGCGGUGCUCCCGAGCCAGAAGACGUGAAACGACUGAAUGCCACGGGCGGUUAGUCUCGUCUCGAUGGUUUCGGAUGUUAAAGUGCAUUUCAGAUGGAUGAUCCGUGGACUAAGCCACUUAACAAAUUUGCCGAUACGGAGCCAGAAUUAGAGCUGCCAGGAGCUCCUUGUGACUUGGGGUGCGGUUCCCAAGCCUCCAUCAGAGUAAAGCUGGAGAAAAGGAAAGGCCGCCAGCCCAACCACUCCUGGUGUGGACCCAGAGCGUGCGCCCCAGCUGGGGUCUCGGAGUACAGAAGAGCUGCGAGAGUGAGCCUGCAGUACGGACAGAUGGAGAAGGGCGCGCCCAAGCCAAGGGGUCGCAACUGGCCUUCGGAAAGCGCACCGGCCUUCGUGAAGACUGAAGCGCAGAGGAAACGCGGAGACGCGAAGGUUGCGCUGACGGUCGCCCCAAGGAAGAGGCAGGGGAAGGGGUCUGUCUCGUCGGCCUUCCCGCUGCGGUUUUCCCAGCUCUCCUCUCUGUGUUUACGGUGCUGCGUCGUCGCACAGUGAGAAGAAAGGCAAGAGCUCUGUGUCUCUGAGUCGCUGACGCCAAGGGCAGCGCUUCGUCUUCGAGCAUCCGAAGGAGAAAUCCCACGUCAAGACCCGCGACAGUGAACACAUGGGCUGCCGGUGCUGAAAGUCUGAGAGCAAGCCUCGCUCGCCCUGCGAGCACACCUGACAACUGGCAACCGCAUCAGAGUUUUGGACUCGUUUUACCAUUUACAAUCCAGCACGCUGCCUCCUUUCUCCUCUUGAUUAACGUGGAAAAGGAACGUGGUGAUGGCUCCUCUGCUGCUUUCAUCUUCGUGGUGCCGGUGCCUGGAGCCUGAGACCCCCGCUGCGGCAGGAUGUCCCAGGAGGGAGGAGAAAAUGCUGCACGAGGACUCGGCACACCACCAAACCGAGCGCAGCUGGUUUAGAGAUGCUGAGAUGUGAGGCCCAUCUGCACCUUAGACUAGAAAGAGGACCUUCCACGCGGACCCCACUGUUGCAGGCUCCAAGGUCUGACUGAGCAAGAAGAGAGAAUCAACCAAGUGUCCAUUGAUGGGUGAACGGAUGAGCAGAAUGUGGUGUGCGAUGUGACGGAAUACGAUUCACCCGGCCUUCCCGGUGUGGCUCAGCGAAGUAUCCUGACGUAGCAUCCAUGAGGAUGCAGGUUCAAUCCUGGACUCGCUCAGUGAGUUAAGGACCCCACGUUGCCCUGAGCCGUGGUGUGGCCGGGGCCGCAGCGGGUGGAGCACCAGGGGGCGGGGCCUCACAGGGAGGCAGGUGGGGCCAGGGAGCUACGGGCUGGGAUCUGCAGAGUGCCUGUUCCCUGAGUCCCUCCCAUCCCCCCACCCUCCUAACAGCUCUCAUAGGUCGGGCUCAGCAUGUGGAGGAGCCUGGGUGGGGGAUGGUUCCAGCUUGACCUCCGGGGCUCCAGUAAUAGCGCGACCUUCGGAAGCCGUGCCGUCUCCCGAAUCUCAGGGUCUCCUUGGGACGUUGGGUCCAGUAGUGGGACCUGCCCUGGCUGUGCCAGGUGCUUCAUAAAGGGCAGUGUGUGGUCAGGUAUCAUCAGUGUAUUAGAUCAGCGUUUCCUGAGACUGCCGCCCGCGUCCCCUGCCGAGUUCCAGGAACGCCCCCGCCCCCAGCACACACCACCCCUGCCCCGCCCCCGUCCCCAGGGCCCACUUCGUGGCCAAUGCAGACUCCCAGGGCCCCACAAGCACUGCUCCCGUCACCGGCCAGGUGCUCUUUGGAACCCAGCAACUUUGCUAACAUUCACUAAGGGAAAUGCUGGGGAAGUUACUUCCACUUGGGGAAGCUCACAGCUCGGCAAACUUGAAGACAUUCAAAGGCAAGGGCAGGAGUUCCCGUCAUGGCACAGUGGAAACAAA